GAUGAACGCUGGCGGCGUGCCUAAUACAUGCCAGUCGAGCGAACAGACGAGGAGCUUGCUCCUCUGACGUUAGCGGCGGACGGGUGAGUAACACGUGGAUAACCUACCUAUAAGACUGGGAUAACUUCGGGAAACCGGAGCUAAUACCGGAUAACAUGUUGAACCGCAUGGUUCAACAGUGAAAGACGGUUUUGCUGUCACUUAUAGAUGGAUCCGCGUUGCAUUAGCUAGUUGGUAAGGUAACGGCUUACCAAGGCAACGAUGCGUAGCCGACCUGAGAGGGUGAUCGGCCACACUGGAACUGAGACACGGUCCAGACUCCUACGGGAGGCAGCAGUAGGGAAUCUUCCGCAAUGGGCGAAAGCCUGACGGAGCAACGCCGCGUGAGUGAAGAAGGUCUUCGGAUCGUAAAACUCUGUUAUUAGGGAAGAACAAAUGUGUAAGUAACUGUGCACGUCUUGACGGUACCUAAUCAGAAAGCCACGGCUAACUACGUG
rnacentral:rRNA from 1 species